GGCACAUAGCUUCUGGUAGAAAGUUUCCAAACACACAAUGUUAUUAUUAUUUCUGUCCUGGUAUUUCAAGUAUACCAGGUCAAAGACAAAGAGCCAAGGCUUUUUAAAAAUAAGGUUUAAUACCCGCAGGUUGAUUUCUAACCUCAGCUCAGCAGUGAGGACCGAUGAAGCAUUCACAUCCCUCUACCUUCUCAAAGGAUUAUGAAAUCUUACAAGAAGAAAAUCCACAGUAGUCACGUAAUUCUACUUCAGUGAUUAGUUCUGCUUUUCUGUCCUUUUAUUCCCUCAUUAAAUGCGUGUAUCCUGAGCAGCAGCUGUGCCAAGGAGACCUCCGAGAAAAAAGGAGUCGCACAGUGGUUGUGCUAGUGAGGUUCACACAACUGGGUCCCCCAUUCUGAUGAGCUUGGUGGAGGCUGCAAGCUGCAGAGCCUGAGACAAGGGUAUUUACAAUCACGUAUUAUGUUACACGGGGGGCUUUUUCUACAGCUCCUCAAAUGAUCUCACACUGACAGUUUCACUAAUAGUCACAAAUGCUUUGACCAUGCCGGGCAGCUCCGAGGACUGUUCAUCGCUGUUCCUGUAUACCGCUCCAGAUGUGAGUAGGGGUUACCUAACGACGUCAUCAGAAGGUGUGUUGGGGUCAAAAUGGACAUCAAAAUCUCUGAACUCUCUAAAGCAGACUCUUCAAAGGAAGCCAGUGCUCCCUGGGAUGAAGACAUUGAAAUUAGCGUGGUGUUUCCAGGAAGGUCAGCGGCACAGGAGGUUCCACAGUAACUACAGCAGUGCUGACACAGCUCGGGACUCUUCUCCAAGUUUGGAAUUUCUCUUACAGGAAGCAUAAGAGUCUGACUGCAUGUGCAGCCCAGCGUGGAUUGCGCAGUGUCUAUCACUUGCAUGGCACUUGCAUGGUAACCUCAAGGAACGAAGACUAGGAACUUAGGACUCUGGGAAGCCAAGCCAGCACCUCCCCUCCCUGCAAGCGGAGGCAGGGUGGCAGCCUGCAGCCCUUCCAGGGGGAGAACUAGCAGUGUCUCCUGAGAUCCACGCCAUGCUGGAACUUAGGACUCUGGGAAGCCAAGCCAGCACCUCCCUUCCCUGGUAAGCGGUGGUAGUUUAGCCCACUGCAGCCCUUCCAGGGGGAGAACUAGCAGUGUCUCCUGAGAUCCACACCAUGCUGGAACUUAGGACUCUGGGAAGCCAAGCCAGCACCUCCCCUCCCUGCAAGCGAAGGCAGGGUGGCAGCCUGCAGCCCUUCCAGGGGGAGAACUAGCAGUGUCUCCUGAGAUCCACGCCAUGCUGGAACUUAGGACUCUGGGAAGCCAAGCCAGCACCUCCCCUCCCUGGAACGAAGACUAGGCAAGACAUUUAUGGUUUAAUGGGCACAAGGAGAAACACAGUACAGAAGCUCUGUUCCCAGCAGGCUGUGUGGCCACCGCCUUGGGUAACAUGCUGAAUCAAAGCUGGGGACUCACUGCUUCAAGUCCCAGGAAGAAAGAAAAACACUGACAAAGAGUGACGAGGAAGGUGGAGCCAACUCAGCCACUGCCUGGAGCUGGGGACCUGUCUGGGGCAUAGAAGGACAAACUCCAUCGCACGUUGCCGUCUUCAAAACAGGUGCUCAGCUUACCAGAUACAGGCCUGCAAACAGGAAAUAACAGGGAGCAAAAGAAGAAAAGAAGCCUGCCUGGUGGGACCGACACUCUAACAGGACAGGUGAUGGGAGCACACACAGCCAGUGGUGAACACCACAGUGCAGAAACACAAAGGUGUGGCCCUGGAAGAUCACAAAUAUCCUGCUUUCCGUGAAUCCAAGAAUAAAGCCCCUUCAGAUGCACCCUGCUAUGAAGCAGAUGAGGAGAAGACCACACUGCAGCAUCCUCAAAUCCACAGCCUGUGCUUUGCUGCACCCCUUGCAAUCUGAUUUCUCUGUCUACUCCAUCAGGCUGAAUCCCACCCUGGUGGUGUAUUAGAUGAUACAAAUGCAGCUUGGCCAAGCUGAGGACUUUCCAUGGCCGGACCAUUAUGCUUCUGAUCACCCAUCAGAGCCAUGAUGUCUCCGAAGCAUGGCUGCUGGGUCAUCACCUUGCCUUUUCCCUGUUCGAUAUUUUUACCCACAUCUUGAUGAGGGCAUAGAUGUCAUGGUUAUCAAAUUUGCAAAUAACACCAAACUGAAAGGCAGAGCUAAUGUGUCACAUGACAGGAUUAGGAAUCAAAACGAUCUUGACAGGGCAGAACAACCAGAUAAAAACCGCAAAAUGAAGUGAACCAUCAGGCUAUGAUCGAAAAGCAAACAAAUAAACACACACACACAUGAAUAGGGAGACCAGGUACCAGAGGUCUCUAAUGAGGGAAGGAAAAAUUAGAGGCUUUAGUUGGUCUCCAAUUAAACAGUAGUCAACAUAUCGAUACAGCUGCAUAAAACAUCUUAGGCUGUGCCAUACAGCAUUACCUACAUGGGGAAAGGCAAUAUCAGUGGUGGAAGAGUACUCAUUUUGAGUCCCAUACUUAAGAAUAAUACUAAUUUUUUUAAGUUUUCAAAGAAAGGUGAUGGGAAAUGCAGCUGUCCUAUUAUAUAAGGAGUUGCUGGGGACCUGCCCACUAUAGGAAACGGCACUUAUGGAAAAUUAAUACAUAUUUCCGAGCUUUGUAAGUGGUUCCUACUGAUAAGAACACUUUGUCACUUCUAAACCUGUUAACUUAGGGCCUCAGCAAAGAACUUUGCCCUUUUAUGGCUCAGAGUAUUAUAUGUAAACGACAGCUAAUAUCAAUUCUUUGGGUUAUUAGAACGAUGAACAAAGACACAUUGUAAAUACGCAGUACUUUACCUGAACACAGCCCAUGCUCAAAGCGGGUGGGUAUCUUUAUUCUCACCUCCCUAAGAAGUAGAAGAGAACAGGUGGAGGAAGGAGGGGGCCCAUACCACAAAAGCAUAGAGGCUUCUGAAAUGUUUUGUUCCUUUCCAUGAAUUUGCCAUGUAGAUGCUGACUGACUGCCUGGGAAUUUGAGAAGAAAUUUUUCCUCUGAGUGAGCGUAGAACUAGAAAUUUUCUACAUUCCUUUCAGUGGAUAAUUUGUGAGCCCCUUAUAAAGGCAAGGUUUUUGAAGUUCUGAAACCCUCUAUGCAUGUGGGUCACAUGUCAGACCCUCAUAAAACUAGAAUCUAUGGAAACAGUUACAGUUAAGGUUGUCUUCCUGAUCUGUGCUUUCCUCCGGGACCCAUGCUGAGAGAUGGCUGCAUCCGUUACCUCUUUCCACAAAUGGGGAAAUGAGCAGAGACUGGAAAUUUACACAAGCUCCUCAGGGGCCAAGCAGAGGUUCAAACCCAAGCUUCUGAAGUGAAAGCCCGCCAGGCCCACAUGCUCAGCCCCCAGAUUGUCCUUCCCCCACUGAUGCAGCAAGGGGAUCCCAUCCUGAGAGGUUUGCAGACGCCCUGAGGUUUCUCCAUGACCACCACGCUGUCCUCCAAGUGCAUCUAAGUUAAAAUAAACUUGACGUCACAGUUGCCUCGGUGGGUGAGCUGAGAAGUGUGUUCUGCACAGUCAGGGAGUGUCAUGCUCCACUAAAACUCGCUCUGUGAACUGGUGAGGCUCUCCUUGGGCCCUGAUGUGUGUCCUACUCCUCCGUGUUGGGCAGCACUCACCCAGAGGUGGGUUCCCGCCCCGGUCUAGUGUGCUCUAAUUCACCUUGUCCUUACCUUGUCCUUACCACUCCAGGCCCACACUACUGAACAUGCACUUUCUGCCAUCAAUCAGCACUGUCCUCAGGGCCAACAACCGGGUGGACUGGACUCUCCAAAGAGUGGACCUCAUCAGCUGGAGGAGCUGCUCCCCCCAGGGGCCACGGCUCAGGAGCAGCCCUUGCUGUCUCCCUGGUUCCAGACGGGCGUAGGUGGGGGGACAGGAUGAAGGAUGCCUGGUUUUGUAAGGUGGAGGUACUGCUUACUCAGAGCAAAUCUCAGUGCCUGGCAAAGAAUAGAAAGGCACAGCACGGGAGUGGGCGCAUGGGAGGGAGCAGGAGAAACGAGCUGCUGAAGCCGCAGGGACUGGUGUUUAUCCAACGAGUGGGCUGCCGAGAGGAAGCAGGGGAAAUUGGUAGGAACAAGUGAGAAAGUUAAAA